rnacentral:rRNA from 1 species
UAGCCGUAAACGAUACUCGCUAGGUGUCGGCCACGGUGCGACCGUUGUCGGUGCCGUAGGGAAGCCGUGAAGCGAGCCACCUGGGAAGUACGGCCGCAAGGCUGAAACUUAAAGGAAUUGGCGGGGGUGCACCACAACGGGUGGAGCUUGCGGUUUAAUUGGAUUCAACGCCGGAAAUCUUACCGGGACCGACAGCAACAUGAAGGCCAGGCUGAAGACUUUGCCGGAUUAGCUGAGAGGAGGUGCAUGGCGUAGUCGUGU